rnacentral:SRP_RNA from 1 species
UCGUGCUAGAUGGGGAGCUAGCGGUGCCCUGAACCCGCAACCCGCUCCAGCGGGGUUGAAUUCCCCUUCGAGGCCCGAUGUUUUGGGACUGGCAUCCAGGCGCGGUGUCGAUGGUGAGGUCCCGCGCGGCGUGGAGCUGUGAAGCAGGUCAGGACCGGAAGGUAGCAGCCUUAAGCAGAUAUCCGCGGGUGACGUGGGGUUGCCGAACCGGAGCGAGCGAGGGAAGCGCUAAGCCGGGGCGUUGUUGGUCGACAAGGGGUGCACGA